CUGUUGUAUGAAAGGAGAGGUUAGCACUCCCCUUGACAAGGAUGGAAGAGGCUCUCAGGCCUGACAGCAUGCAUACGGUUAAGGCAUUGCUACCUACUUCGUGCCGUCUAACCAUUGUUUCUU
rnacentral:ncRNA from 1 species